rnacentral:rRNA from 1 species
AUACGGAGGGUGCAAGCGUUAAUCGGAAUUACUGGGCGUAAAGCGCGCGUAGGCGGCUUGGUAAGUCGGAUGUGAAAUCCCCGGGCUUAACCUGGGAAUUGCAUUCGAUACUGUCAGGCUAGAGUGUGGUAGAGGGAAGUGGAAUUUCCGGUGUAGCGGUGAAAUGCGUAGAUAUCGGAAGGAACACCAGUGGCGAAGGCGGCUUCCUGGACCAACACUGACGCUGAGGCGCGAAAGCGUGGGGAGCAAACAGGAUUAGAUACCCUAGUAGUCC